ACGUUAUCAUUCUUGUUAGUUCUAAGUGAAUUCCCUCGGUAUGAUAAUUUGUUCAUCAGUUUGUUCCCCGUUUCUUCUCUAGCCUGAGCCUGACACACUAUUCUAGCUAGACAUGGGUGUGGCUCGUAACACCUGAUGACCAAACGGAUCUACGACACCAUCGAAUCUCAAACUUUAACUACCAAAACUAUUGUUUUUCAUCCUCUAGUCCCUUUUAGAAUUACUAAACGUCCUUUUUUGGGCCGAGAUUUCCAGGAACGCUUUCUCGGGGUUUGUGUGCAUGUAUUUCAAACCAUACAGACCUAAAAAUUAGAAGUCAUUCCAUCUUUAUUCCCGUAGAGCCUUCCAGCAGUUCCUAAACCGCUCCAGUCGGAGCAUGUUAUCAUUCUUGUUUGUUCUGAGUGAAUUCCCUCGGUAUGAUAAUUCUAUCAUCAGUUUGUUCCCCGUUUCUUCUCUAGCCUGAGCCUGGCAAACUAUUCNNNNNNNNNNNNNNNNNNNNNNNNNNNNNNNNNNNNNNNNNNNNNNNNNNNNNNNNNNNNNNNNNNNNNNNNNNNNNNNNNNNNNNNNNNNNNNNNNNNNNNNNNNNNNNNNNNNNNNNNNNNNNNNNNNNNNNNNCUAAACCGCUCUAGUCGGAGCACGUUAUCAUUCUUGUUAGUUCUGAGUGAAUUCCCUCGGUAUGAUAAUUCUUUCAUCAGUUUGUUCCCUGUUUCUUCUCUAGCCUGAGCCUGACACACUAUUCUAGCUAGACAUGGGUGUGGCUCGUAACACCUAAUGACCAAACGGAUCGACGGCACCAUCGAAUCUCAAACUUUAACUGCCAAAACUAUUGUUUUUCAUCCUGUUGUCCCAUUUAGAAUUACUAAACGUCCUUUUUUGGGCCGAGAUUUAGAGGAACGCUUUCUCGGGGUUUGUGUGCAAGUAUUUCAAACCAUACGGACCUAAAAAUUAGAAGUCAUUCCAUCUUUAUUCCCCUAGAGCCUUCCAGCAGUUCCUAAACCGCUCAAGUCAGAGCAUGUUAUCAUUCUUGUUAGUUCUGAGUGAAUUCCCUCGGUAUGAUAAUUCUUUCAUCAGUUUGUUCCCUGUUUCUUCUCUAGCCUGAGCCUGACACACUAUUCUAGCUAGACAUGGGUGUGGCUCGUAACACCUGAUGACCAAACGGAUCUACGACACCAUUGAAUCUCAAACUUUAACUACCAAAACUAUUAUUUUUCAUCCUGUAGUCCCUUUUAGAAUUACUAAACGUCCUUUUUUGGGCCGAGAUUUCCAAGAACGCUUUCUCGUGGUUUGUGUGCAAGUAUUUCAAACCAUACAGACCUAAAAAUUAGAAGUCAUUCCAUCUUUAUGCCCGUAGAGCCUUCCAGCAGUUCCUAAACCGCUCCAGUCGGAGCACGUUAUCAUUCUUAUUAGUUCUGAGUGAAUUCCCUCAGUAUGAUAAUUCUUUCAUAAGUUUGUUCCCCAUUUCUUCUCUAGCCUGAGCCUGGCACACUAUUCUAGCUAGACAUGGGUGUGGCUCAUAACACUUGUUGACUAAAUGGAUCGACGGCACCAUCGAAUCUCAAACUUUAACUGCCAAAACUAUUGUUUUUCAUCCUGUAGUCCCAUUUAGAAUUAUUAAACGUCCUUUUUUGGGCCGAUAUUUAGAGUAAUGCUUUCUCGGGGUUUGUCUGCAAGUAUUUCAAACCAUACGGACCUAAAAAUUAGAAGUCAUUCCAUCUUUAUUCCCCUAGAGCCUUCCAGCAGUUCCUAAACCGCUCUAGUCGGAGCACGUUAUCAUUCUUGUUAGUUCUGAGUGAAUUCCCUCAGUAUGAUAAUUCUUUCAUCUGUUUGUUCCCCGUUUCUUCUCUAGCCUGAGCCUGACACACUAUUCAAGCUAGACAUGGAUGUGGCUCGUAACACCUGAUGACCAAACGGAUCUACGGCACCAUCGAAUCCCAAACUUUAACUGCCAAAACUAUUGUUUUUCAUCCUGUAGUCCCUUUUAGAAUUACUAAACGUCCUUUUUUGGGCCGAGAUUUCCAGGAAUGCUUUCUCGGGGUUUGUGUGCAAGUAUUUCAAACCAUACAAAGCUAGAAAUUAGAAGUCAUUCCAUCUUUAUUAUCGUAGAGCCUUCCAGCAGUUCCUAAACCGGUCUAGUCGGAGCACGUUAUCAUUCUAGUUAGUUCUGAGUGAAUUCCCUCGGUAUGAUAAUUCUUUCAUCAGUUUGUUCCCCGUUUCUUCUCUAGCCUGAGCCUGACAAACUAUUCUAGCUAGACAUGCGUGUGGCUCGUAACACCUGAUGACCAAACGGAUCUAUAGCACCAUCGAAUCUCAAACUUUAACUGCCAAAACUAUUGUUUUCAUCCUGUAGUCCCUUUUAGAAUUACUAAACUUCCUUUUUUGGGCCGAGAUUUAGAGGAACGCUUUCUGGGGUUUGUGUGCAAGUAUUUCAAACCAUACAGACCUAAAAAUUAGAAGUCAUUCCAUCUUUAUUCCCCUAGAGCCUUCCAGCAGUUCCUAAACCGCUCUAGUCGGAGCACGUUAUCAUUAUUGUUAGUUCUGAGUGAAUUCCCUCGGUAUGAUAAUUCUUUCAUCAGUUUGUUCCCUGUUUCUUCUCUAUCCUGAGCCUGACACACUAUUCUAGCUAGACAUGGGUGUGGCUCGUAACACCUGAUGACUAAAUGGAUCGACGGCACCAUCGAAUCUCAAACUUUAACUGCCAAAACUAUUGUUUUUCAUCCUGUAGUCCCAUUUAGAAUUAGUAAACGUCCUUUUUUGGGCCGAGAUUUAGAGGAACGCUUUCUCGGGGUUUGUGUGCAAGUAUUUCAAACCAUACGGACCUAAAAAUUAGAAGUCAUUCCAUCUUUAUUCCCCUAGUCAUCAGGUAUACACUCAAGUCGGAGCACGUUAUCAUUCUUGUUAGUUCUGAGUGAAUUCCCUCGGUAUGAUAAUUCUUUCAUAAAUUUGUUCCCCGUUUCUUAUAUGGCCUGAGCCUGACACACUAUUCUAGCUAGACAUGGGUGUGGCUCGUAACACCUGAUGACCAAACGGAUCUACGGCACCAUCAAAUCUCAAACUUUAACUGCCAAAACUAUUCUUUUUCAUUCUGUAGUCCCUUCUAGAAUUACUAAACGUCCUUUUUUGGGCCGAGAUUUCCAGGAAC
rnacentral:lncRNA from 1 species